rnacentral:rRNA from 1 species
ACGCUGGCUACAGGCUUAACACAUGCAAGUCGAGGGGAAACGGCGUUGAGUGCUCGCACUCUUCGGACGUCGACCGGCGCACGGGUGAGUAACGCGUAUCCAACCUUCCCGUCACUGCAGGAUAACCUGCCGAAAGGCAGACUAAUACCGCAUGGCCUUCACUGACGGCAUCAGAGGUGAAGUAAAGCUUUUUAGCGGUGACGGACGGGGAUGCGUCUGAUUAGCUGGUUGGCGGGGCGACGGCCCACCAAGGCAACGAUCAGUAGGGGUUCUGAGAGGAAGGUCCCCCACAUUGGAACUGAGACACGGUCCAAACUCCUACGGGAGGCAGCAGUGAGGAAUAUUGGUCAAUGGGCGGAAGCCUGAACCAGCCAAGUAGCGUGCAGGAUGACGGCCCUACGGGUUGUAAACUGCUUUUAUGCGGGGAUAAAGUGAGGGACGCGUCCCUUUUUGCAGGUACCGCAUGAAUAAGGACCGGCUAAUUCCGUGCCAGCAGCCGCGGUAAUACGGAAGGUCCGGGCGUUAUCCGGAUUUAUUGGGUUUAAAGGGAGCGUAGGCCGGGGAUUAAGUGUGUUGUGAAAUGUAGGCGCUCAACGUCUGAUGUGCAGCGCAUACUGGUUCCCUUGAGUACGCGCAACGCCGGCGGAAUUCGUCGUGUAGCGGUGAAAUGCUUAGAUAUGACGAAGAACCCCGAUUGCGAAGGCAGCCGGCGGGAGCGCAACUGACGCUGAAGCUCGAAGGUGCGGGUAUCGAACAGGAUUAGAUACCCUGGUAGUCCGCACGGUAAACGAUGGAUGCCCGCUCUCGGCGCCUGGCGCCGGGGGCCAAGCGAAAGCGUUAAGCAUCCCACCUGGGGAGUACGCCGGCAACGGUGAAACUCAAAGGAAUUGACGGGGGCCCGCACAAGCGG